rnacentral:rRNA from 1 species
GAUGAACGCUGGCGGCGUGGAUAAGGCAUGCAAGUCGAACGAAAUCUUUCCUGAAGAAGUUGCGAUUACAUCAAGAUGACGGAUUGAAGGAUUUAGUGGCGAACGAGUUAGUAACACCUUGGUAACGUACCUCCGAGUCGGGUACAACGGGUCGAAAGAUCCGCUAAUUCCCGAUAGUCCCGCAAGGGUAAAGUCGCAAGACGCUUGGAGAGCGGCCUAGGUCCUAUCAGCUUGUUGGCGGGGUAACGGCCCACCAAGGCUACGACGGGUAGGGGUGUGAGAGCAUGACCCUCAACGACGAAACUGAGAUACGGUUCGUACACCUACGGGUGGCAGCAGUCGAGAAUAUUCGACAAUGGGCGAAAGCCUGAUCGAGCGACGCCGCGUGCA